GUCUCAAUCAAUUCCAUGGGUGCCCAACACCCCCCCGGGCGUUUGUCGGGCUUUUGUCAUUUUGGCGAAAAAACGUUGCAAAUGCCCCAGUAUGGGGGCCAAAUAAUGCAACAAAAUCCCCACCCUUGGGGACUUAUAUUGACGCAAAUGCCCCACCCUUGGGGGACAAAAUAUAAGUUUUCUGAGGAUUUCUGAUCCAAAAAAUCGAAUCCAAGCUCUAUCACGUAUCAAUUUAUCUGUAUUUAAAAUCGAUUCUAUAGGCAUUUCGUUUUAAA